rnacentral:rRNA from 1 species
AGAGUUUGAUCAUGGCUGCCUCCUAAGGCUAGCGACAGGCCUAACACAUGCAAGUCGAGCGUGCAGCAUUAUUUUAGCUUGCUAAAAUAGAUGGCGACCGGCGCACGGGUGAGUAACGCGUAUGCAACCUACCUCUUACAGGGGAAUAGCCCGAAGAAAUUCGGAUUAAUGCCCCAUGGUUCUGUAAAACUGCAUAUUCGAACAAUUAAAGAUUCAUCGGUAAAGGAUGGGCAUGCGUGACAUUAGGUAGUUGGUAAGGUAACGGCUUACCAAGCCAUCGAUGUCUAGGGGUCCUGAGAGGGUGAUCCCCCACACUGGUACUGAGACACGGACCAGACUCCUACGGGAGGCAGCAGUGAGGAAUAUUGGUCAAUGGACGCAAGUCUGAACCAGCCAUCCCGCGUGAAGGACGACGGCCUUAUGGGUUGUAAACUUCUUUUAUGUACCAAGAAAGUUAUCUAUGUAUAGAUAUUUGACGGUAGUAUAUGAAUAAGCAUCGGCUAACUCCGUGCCAGCAGCCGCGGUAAUACGGAGGAUGCGAGCGUUAUCCGGAUUUAUUGGGUUUAAAGGGUGUGUAGGCGGAUUUUUAAGUCAGUGGUGAAAUCUCUAGGCUCAACCUAGAAACUGCGGAGUUCUUGAAUAUAGUUGAGGUAGGCGGAAUGUGUAAUGUAGCGGUGAAAUGCUUAGAUAUUACACAGAACACCGAUUGCGAAGGCAGCUUACUAAGCUAUUACUGACGCUGAUGCACGAAAGCGUGGGGAGCGAACAGGAUUAGAUACCCUGGUAGUCCACGCCGUAAACUAUGAUCACUCGUUGUUGGCAAUACAUCGUCAGCGACUGAGCGAAAGCAUUAAGUGAUCCACCUGGGGAGUACGAUCGCAAGGUUGGAACUCAAAGGAAUUGACGGGGGCCCGCACAAGCGGAGGAACAUGUGGUUUAAUUCGAUCAUACGCGAGGAACCUUACCUGGGCUUAAAUGUAGAUUGCAUAGAUUAGAGAUAGUCUUUUUCUUCGGAACUUUUUACAAGGUGCUGCAUGGUUGUCGUCAGCUCGUGCCGUGAGGUGUCGGGUUAAGUCCCAUAACGAGCGCAACCCCUAUCGUUAGUUGCUAACAGGUUAAGCUGAGGACUCUAGCGAGACUGCCAUCGUAAGAUGAGAGGAAGGUGGGGAUGACGUCAAAUCAGCACGGCCCUUACGUCCAGGGCUACACACGUGUUACAAUGGCCGGUACAGAGGGCAGCUACAUAGCGAUAUGAUGCGAAUCUCCAAAGCCGGUCUCAGUUCGGAUCGGAGUCUGCAACUCGACUCCGUGAAGUUGGAUUCGCUAGUAAUCGGAUAUCAGCCAUGAUCCGGUGAAUACGUUCCCGGGCCUUGUACACACCGCCCGUCAAGCCAUGGAAGCUGGGGGUGCCUGAAGUCUGUAACCGCAAGGAGCGGCCUAGGGCAAAACUGGUAACUGGGGCUAAGUCGUAACGAGGUAACC